rnacentral:rRNA from 1 species
GAGUUUGAUCCUGGCUCAGAACGAACGCUGGCGGCAGGCUUAACACAUGCAAGUCGAACGCGUGUAGCAAUACACGAGUGGCGCACGGGUGAGUAACGCGUGGAUAUCUGCCUUUUGGUUCGGAAUAACCCCGGGAAACUGGGGCUAAUACCGGAUGGUUCCUUCGGGAUAAAGAUUUAUCGCCAUUGGAGCGGCCCGCGUUGGAUUAGGUAGUUGGUGGGGUAACGGCCUACCAAGCCUACGAUCCAUAGCUGGUCUGAGAGGAUGAUCAGCCACACUGGGACUGAGACACGGCCCAGACUCCUACGGGAGGCAGCAGUGGGGAAUCUUGCGCAAUGGGCGAAAGCCUGACGCAGCCAUGCCGCGUGUAUGAUGAAGGUCUUAGGAUUGUAAAAUACUUUCACCGGGGAAGAUAAUGACGGUACCCGGAGAAGAAGCCCCGGCUAACUUCGUGCCAGCAGCCGCGGUA